GACGAGCGCUGGCGGCGUGCUUAACACAUGCAAGUCGAACGGAAAGGCCUCUUUCGGGGGGUACUCGAGUGGCGAACGGGUGAGUAACACGUGAGUAACCUGCCCUUGACUUUGGGAUAACUUCAGGAAACUGGGGCUAAUACCGGAUAGGAGCUCCUGCUGCAUGGUGGGGGUUGGAAAGUUUCGGCGGUUGGGGAUGGACUCGCGGCUUAUCAGCUUGUUGGUGGGGUAGUGGCUUACCAAGGCUUUGACGGGUAGCCGGCCUGAGAGGGUGACCGGCCACAUUGGGACUGAGAUACGGCCCAGACUCCUACGGGAGGCAGCAGUGGGGAAUAUUGCACAAUGGGUGGAAGCCUGAUGCAGCAACGCCGUGGGCGGGAGGACGGCCUUCGGGUUGUAAACCGCUUUCGCUCAUGACGAAGCUUUGUGUGACGGUAGUGGGUAAAGAAGCACCGGCUAACUACGUG
rnacentral:rRNA from 1 species